UCGAGGGGCAGCGGGAAGGUUAGCUUGCUAAUCUUUGCCGGCGACCGGCGCACGGGUGAGUAACACGUAUGCAACCUGUCCGGUACAGGGGGAUAAGCGGCGGAAACGCCGUCUAAUACCGCGUGACAACCCGAGGGGGCAUCCCCUUGGGUUCAAAGGAGAGAUCCGGUACCGGCUGGGCAUGCGGCGCAUUAGCUAGUUGGCGGGGCAACGGCCCACCAAGGCGACGAUGCGUAGGGGUUCUGAGAGGAAGGUCCCCCACACUGGAACUGAGACACGGUCCAGACUCCUACGGGAGGCAGCAGUGAGGAAUAUUGGUCAAUGGGCGCAAGCCUGAACCAGCCAAGUCGCGUGAGGGAAGACGGCCCUACGGGUUGUAAACCUCUUUUGCCGGGGAGCAAGCCUGAGCACGUGUGCCCAGGCGGAGAGUACCCGGAGAAAAAGCAUCGGCUAACUCCGUGCCAGCAGCCGCGGUAAUACGGAGGAUGCGAGCGUUAUCCGGAUUUAUUGGGUUUAAAGGGUGCGCAGGCGGGCUGUUAAGCCGGCGGUAAAAAUUCAGGGCUCAACCCUGUCGAGCCGUCGGAACUGGCAGUCUUGAGUGGGCGAGAAGUAUGCGGAAUGCGUGGUGUAGCGGUGAAAUGCAUAGAUAUCACGGGAAACGCCGAUUGCGAAGGCAGCAUACCGGCGCCCAACUGACGCUGAGGCACGAAAGCGUGGGGAU
rnacentral:rRNA from 1 species